rnacentral:piRNA from 1 species
UCAGUUGGUAUCUUACUUAUU